UACGUAGGGUGCAAGCGUUAUCCGGAAUUAUUGGGCGUAAAGAGCUCGUAGGCGGUUUGUCGCGUCUGCCGUGAAAGUCCGGGGCUCAACUCCGGAUCUGCGGUGGGUACGGGCAGACUAGAGUGCAGUAGGGGAGACUGGAAUUCCUGGUGUAGCGGUGAAAUGCGCAGACUAUCAGGAGGAACACCGAUGGCGAAGGCAGGUCUCUGGGCUGUAACUGACGCUGGAGGAGCGAAAGCAUGGGGAGCGAACAGG
rnacentral:rRNA from 1 species